rnacentral:tRNA from 4 species
GCCUCUGUAGCUCAGUGGUAGAGCAUCUGCUUCGUAAGCAGGGGGUCACAGGUUCAAGUCCUGUCAGGGGCU